rnacentral:rRNA from 1 species
CAGCAGCCGCGGUAAUACGAAGGGUGCAAGCGUUAAUCGGAAUUACUGGGCGUAAAGCGUGCGUAGGCGGUUUGUUAAGUCUGUUGUGAAAUCCCCGGGCUCAACCUGGGAACGGCAAUGGAUACUGGCAAGCUAGAGUGUGUCAGAGGAUGGUGGAAUUCCCGGUGUAGCGGUGAAAUGCGUAGAGAUCGGGAGGAACAUCAGUGGCGAAGGCGGCCAUCUGGGACAACACUGACGCUGAGGCACGAAAGCGUGGGGAGUAAACAGGAUUAGAUACCCCAGUAGUCCCUGUCUCUUAUAC